UCGACGCGGACGCCGAACUCUGCCACCGCAUCCCGAGGAACCGCACGACACCGUCUGGCAGAGGCGGGGGACCCACGUAGUCCGACCGGCGCGGAAGCCAUCCGUGACGGUCUUGGGGUGAAGCCACCACAGCAGGGCGCGAGCCCAGCACCGGUGGCCGGGUGAACACUCUCCACCCGAACCCGACAGCUCACCUCGAAGGCGUCGGAGAGGCUCU
rnacentral:sRNA from 2 species